GGGCUUAUAGCUCAGUUGGUAGAGCGCACGCUGGCCCCGAGUUCAAACCUCGGUAAGUCCA
rnacentral:tRNA from 1 species